AGAUUGAGUUGAACAAAAUGAUGAAUUUAUAAUCGCAAUUGAAGAUUUUAAAAAGAACUUUCCCUUGUUCAGCCGUUCUCACCAUUUUCGUCGGGGAAAAUAGCCGGUGAAUUCAAAUCAUCACCUUGAACAAAGUGAUCCACACAGAAAUGUCGCGGAAGAGAAAUUACAGCGACGAGGAUGAAGACGACACCUUUUACUACCGCUAUGCCUCCGCCCCUCUACCACCGUCAUCCUCCAAAACCCUAACCACUGCUACUAACACUUCCAAAGGCGGCGGCGCCCGCCUAGCUCCGUCCAAAUCCACGGUCUACGUAAGCAACCUAGAUUUCUCCCUCACCAAUUCCGACGUCCACACCAUAUUCUCCACAUUCGGCAAGGUCGCCAAGGUAACCGUUCUCAAGGACCGGGUGACCCGGAAAAGCCGUGGCGUGGCGUUCGUCCUAUUCGUCUCCCGUGAGGAUGCGAUCAAAGCUGCUAAAGGAAUUGACAAAAAAGUCCUCAACGGCCGGACCUUAUCGGCCUCGAUUGCAGCCGAUAACGGCCGGGCAGCGGAGUUUAUCCGGCGGAAGGUGUAUGCGGAUAAGAGCCGGUGCUACGAGUGCGGUGUGGAAGGGCACUUGUCCUAUGAGUGCCCUAAGAAUCAGCUUGGCCCUAGGGAAAGGCCGGAGCCGUCAAAGAAAGGGCGGAGGAGAGGUGGGGGUGACGGUAGGGUUAAAGGGGGUCGGGAGGAGGAGGAGGAGGAGGAAGAAGAAGAUGAAGGAGAGGCUUUCGUGGACGACAAUUGGGCUUCCGCAGUGGAUGGAGGUGCAGAGGAUAGACUAUUAAGCGCAGGAGACACUGAGGAAACGAAGAACGUGAAGAGGGAGAAGAGAAAAGGAUAUUUUAGUGAUGAGAGUGAAGAAGAUGACUGAUUUUCUCAAGAACCAAACCUGGGGACAAUAUGAGCUGCAUUAUAGUUGUCAGACUAGGAUGGUGAAGUUUAGAAGGAGAAAUUCUCUAAAGAUCUUUGUUAGAGAGAGAGAGACUUGGAAAACUCUCCUUCUCCAUGCACCACUUAGGCCUUAGCCCACACAUUCAACUUGGGGCACCUGCUUCUGAUCAGAAGUUGCCGAAGGUUUCAUAGGCAUAAAACCAGCCGGCAGUACCCAACGAGAGCAACAUCACAAACCCAAAAUUCUCACCUUCAAAGUACACGAUAUGUCUCCCGGUACUCUCUCCAGCAACUUUGCACAUUUUGUGAGGAGCUCCUGAGAACAACCAGACUCAAUUAAGUAGAUGUUAAAGAUAUUCCCAAGCAAUUAGAACACUCAAACUCUCAUCAAGUCCUUACACAGGAUACUCUUGUACUGUAUUUGAUAAUAAUUCUUUCUUUUGUAAGCGCAAGCUUGGCCUUUGGUUUUAAAAUUCUGCCCUGCUGUGUCAGGCUGGGUAUCUUUCUUUAAA